AGUUUUAUAAUCAAAUUCAUGAUAUUAAAUUGCAAAUUUAAAAUUGAACUAUUUUAAAAUUCUAAAACUU
rnacentral:tRNA from 1 species